rnacentral:lncRNA from 1 species
GUUGAAGACAAUGAUCUGUCUGAGUGGUGGUGAUGGUAGUGGAUUCUCUGGCCUGAGAAAGGCAUAAAAGGCAAUGUGCAUGGCUGGUAAUGGCCGACUUGGUAGUAUAAUUGAAUGGUUGUAGAUCUAAUAGGUCCGAUAAGGAUGAACAGUUGGAUGGCUAUUGGUAAUCUCUGAGAGGAACGUGGGGGAAUGGAUUCCUGAAAACCUCUGAGUAUAUUCUUUUC